rnacentral:rRNA from 1 species
AUACGGCGGGGGCUAGCGUUGUUCGGAAUUACUGGGCGUAAAGCGCGCGCAGGCGGCUUGAUAAGUUGGAUGUGAAAGCCUACGGCUCAACCGUAGAACUGCAUCCAAAACUGUCAAGCUAGAGUCUGGGAGGGGAAGAUGGAAUUAGUUGUGUAGGGGUAAAAUCCGUAGAGAUAACUAGGAAUACCAAAAGCGAAGGCGAUCUUCUGGAACAGUACUGACGCUGAGGCGCGAAAGCGUGGGGAGCAAACAGGAUUAGAAACCCCAGUAGUCC